CUGUUGCUAAAAUGAAUACCAUCAAAAUUUUACUAUCAUGUGCAGUAAACCUUGAGUGGGAUUUGCAGCAGUUUAAUUUAAUAAAAUGCCUUUCUAAAUGGUGAUAUGGAAGAAGAAGUAUAUAUGAAAAUACCUCCAGGAUUUGAGAAUGGGAAGACCAAAGAAAAAGUUUACAGAUUGAAGAAAGCAUUGUAUGAUUUAAAACAGUCACCUAGGGCAUGGUUUGACAGGUUUAGUAAGACUAUGCUUUGUUUUGGAUACUGCCAAAGCAACGCUGAUCACACCUUGUUUAUAAAACACUAUAGGGGUAAGAUCACUCUGCUUAUUGUCUAUGUGGAUGAUAUUAUAGUAACUGGUGAUGAUAGGGAAGAAAUGAUUAAUGUAAAGGAACAACUAGCAU
rnacentral:misc_RNA from 1 species